UUAAGCGACUAAGCGUACACGGUGGAUGCCCUGGCAGUCAGAGGCGAUGAAGGACGUGCUAAUCUGCGAUAAGCGUCGGUAAGGUGAUAUGAACCGUUAUAACCGGCGAUUUCCGAAUGGGGAAACCCAGUGUGAUUCGUCACACUAUCAUUAACUGAAUCCAUAGGUUAAUGAGGCGAACCGGGGGAACUGAAACAUCUAAGUACCCCGAGGAAAAGAAAUCAACCGAGAUUCCCCCAGUAGCGGCGAGCGAACGGGGAGCAGCCCAGAGCCUGAAUCAGUGUGUGUGUUAGUGGAAGCGUCUGGAAAGGCGCGCGAUACAGGGUGACAGCCCCGUACACAAAAAUGCACAUGCUGUGAGCUCGAUGAGUAGGGCGGGACACGUGGUAUCCUGUCUGAAUAUGGGGGGACCAUCCUCCAAGGCUAAAUACUCCUGACUGACCGAUAGUGAACCAGUACCGUGAGGGAAAGGCGAAAAGAACCCCGGCGAGGGGAGUGAAAAAGAACCUGAAACCGUGUACGUACAAGCAGUGGGAGCACGCUUAGGCGUGUGACUGCGUACCUUUUGUAUAAUGGGUCAGCGACUUAUAUUCUGUAGCAAGGUUAACCGAAUAGGGGAGCCGAAGGGAAACCGAGUCUUAACUGGGCGUUAAGUUGCAGGGUAUAGACCCGAAACCCGGUGAUCUAGCCAUGGGCAGGUUGAAGGUUGGGUAACACUAACUGGAGGACCGAACCGACUAAUGUUGAAAAAUUAGCGGAUGACUUGUGGCUGGGGGUGAAAGGCCAAUCAAACCGGGAGAUAGCUGGUUCUCCCCGAAAGCUAUUUAGGUAGCGCCUCGUGAAUUCAUCUCCGGGGGUAGAGCACUGUUUCGGCAAGGGGGUCAUCCCGACUUACCAACCCGAUGCAAACUGCGAAUACCGGAGAAUGUUAUCACGGGAGACACACGGCGGGUGCUAACGUCCGUCGUGAAGAGGGAAACAACCCAGACCGCCAGCUAAGGUCCCAAAGUCAUGGUUAAGUGGGAAACGAUGUGGGAAGGCCCAGACAGCCAGGAUGUUGGCUUAGAAGCAGCCAUCAUUUAAAGAAAGCGUAAUAGCUCACUGGUCGAGUCGGCCUGCGCGGAAGAUGUAACGGGGCUAAACCAUGCACCGAAGCUGCGGCAGCGACACUAUGUGUUGUUGGGUAGGGGAGCGUUCUGUAAGCCUGUGAAGGUGUGCUGUGAGGCAUGCUGGAGGUAUCAGAAGUGCGAAUGCUGACAUAAGUAACGAUAAAGCGGGUGAAAAGCCCGCUCGCCGGAAGACCAAGGGUUCCUGUCCAACGUUAAUCGGGGCAGGGUGAGUCGACCCCUAAGGCGAGGCCGAAAGGCGUAGUCGAUGGGAAACAGGUUAAUAUUCCUGUACUUGGUGUUACUGCGAAGGGGGGACGGAGAAGGCUAUGUUGGCCGGGCGACGGUUGUCCCGGUUUAAGCGUGUAGGCUGGUUUUCCAGGCAAAUCCGGAAAAUCAAGGCUGAGGCGUGAUGACGAGGCACUACGGUGCUGAAGCAACAAAUGCCCUGCUUCCAGGAAAAGCCUCUAAGCAUCAGGUAACAUCAAAUCGUACCCCAAACCGACACAGGUGGUCAGGUAGAGAAUACCAAGGCGCUUGAGAGAACUCGGGUGAAGGAACUAGGCAAAAUGGUGCCGUAACUUCGGGAGAAGGCACGCUGAUAUGUAGGUGAAGUCCCUCGCGGAUGGAGCUGAAAUCAGUCGAAGAUACCAGCUGGCUGCAACUGUUUAUUAAAAACACAGCACUGUGCAAACACGAAAGUGGACGUAUACGGUGUGACGCCUGCCCGGUGCCGGAAGGUUAAUUGAUGGGGUUAGCCGCAAGGCGAAGCUCUUGAUCGAAGCCCCGGUAAACGGCGGCCGUAACUAUAACGGUCCUAAGGUAGCGAAAUUCCUUGUCGGGUAAGUUCCGACCUGCACGAAUGGCGUAAUGAUGGCCAGGCUGUCUCCACCCGAGACUCAGUGAAAUUGAACUCGCUGUGAAGAUGCAGUGUACCCGCGGCAAGACGGAAAGACCCCGUGAACCUUUACUAUAGCUUGACACUGAACAUUGAGCCUUGAUGUGUAGGAUAGGUGGGAGGCUUUGAAGUGUGGACGCCAGUCUGCAUGGAGCCGACCUUGAAAUACCACCCUUUAAUGUUUGAUGUUCUAACGUUGACCCGUAAUCCGGGUUGCGGACAGUGUCUGGUGGGUAGUUUGACUGGGGCGGUCUCCUCCUAAAGAGUAACGGAGGAGCACGAAGGUUGGCUAAUCCUGGUCGGACAUCAGGAGGUUAGUGCAAUGGCAUAAGCCAGCUUGACUGCGAGCGUGACGGCGCGAGCAGGUGCGAAAGCAGGUCAUAGUGAUCCGGUGGUUCUGAAUGGAAGGGCCAUCGCUCAACGGAUAAAAGGUACUCCGGGGAUAACAGGCUGAUACCGCCCAAGAGUUCAUAUCGACGGCGGUGUUUGGCACCUCGAUGUCGGCUCAUCACAUCCUGGGGCUGAAGUAGGUCCCAAGGGUAUGGCUGUUCGCCAUUUAAAGUGGUACGCGAGCUGGGUUUAGAACGUCGUGAGACAGUUCGGUCCCUAUCUGCCGUGGGCGCUGGAGAACUGAGGGGGGCUGCUCCUAGUACGAGAGGACCGGAGUGGACGCAUCACUGGUGUUCGGGUUGUCAUGCCAAUGGCACUGCCCGGUAGCUAAAUGCGGAAGAGAUAAGUGCUGAAAGCAUCUAAGCACGAAACUUGCCCCGAGAUGAGUUCUCCCUGACUCCUUGAGAGUCCUGAAGGAACGUUGAAGACGACGACGUUGAUAGGCCGGGUGUGUAAGCGCAGCGAUGCGUUGAGCUAACCGGUACUAAUGAACCGUGAGGCUUAACCUU
rnacentral:rRNA from 1 species